GGCCCGGUAGUUCAGAUUGGUUAGAAUGCCAGCCUGUCACGCUGGAGGUCGAGGGUUCGAGCCCCUUCCGGGUCGCCA
rnacentral:tRNA from 1 species